rnacentral:rRNA from 1 species
UACGUAGGUGGCAAGCGUUGUCCAGAUUUAUUGGGCGUAAAGCGAGCGCAGGCGGUUCCUUAAGUCUGAUGUGAAAGCCCACGGCUCAACCGUGGAAGGUCAUUGGAAACUGGGGAACUUGAGUGCAGAAGAGGAGAGUGGAAUUCCAUGUGUAGCGGUGAAAUGCGUAGAUAUAUGGAGGAACACCAGUGGCGAAGGCGACUCUCUGGUCUGUAACUGACGCUGAGGCUCGAAAGCGUGGGGAGCAAACAGGAUUA